ACACCUCAACCCUCAUGGUUUGCCAUGAUGGGCUUGGACUUUGGGGGUCUUGCUGGAUUGUGGUCAGCUCCCCUUAAAUGAAUCAGCUUGCCAGUGUUUGGUGGCAUCACAGGUGUGAUAACUAUCUACGCUUGUGGUUUUACAUCAGAUAACCUUCAGCAAUGGAGGUUCACUGGAGCUCAUAAAGGUCUCUCAUCUGCAGGGACAGUUCUUUGAAU
rnacentral:misc_RNA from 1 species